GGGGCGGUAGCUCAGCCUGGGAGAGCACACGGCUGAAGACCGUGGUGUCACGGAUUCAAAUUCCGUCCGCCCCA
rfam:Candidatus Woesearchaeota archaeon CG1_02_57_44 cg1_0.2_scaffold_1547_c, whole genome shotgun sequence.